rnacentral:rRNA from 1 species
AAUUUUGGACAAUGGGCGAAAGCCUGAUCCAGCAAUGCCGCGUGUGUGACGAAGGCCCUCGGGUUGUAAAGCACUUUUGUCCGGAAAGAACUCGGUCGGGCUAGUACCUCGACUGGAUGACGGUACCGGAAGAAUAAGCACCGGCUACCUAGGCGCCCGCAGCCGCGGUAAUAAGUAGGGUGCGAGCGUUAAUCGGAAUUGCUGGGCGUAAAGCGUGCGGCGGCGGCGCUGUAAGACAGAUGUGAAAUACCCGGGCUUAACCUGGGAACUGCAUUUGUGACUGCUGUGCUAGAGGGUGUCAGAGGGGGGUAGAAUUCCGGGUGUAGCAGUGAAAUGCGUAGAGAUGCGGGGGAAUACCGAUGGCGGAGGCAGCCCCCUGGGAUAAUACUGACGCUCAUGCACGAAAGCGUGGGGAGCAAAC